rnacentral:tRNA from 1 species
GCCAAGAUAGCUCAGUUGGUAGAGCACGCGCCUGAAAAGUGCGGUGUCCCGAGUUCAAAUCUCGGUCUUGGCACCA